UACGUAGGGUGCGAGCGUUAAUCGGAAUUACUGGGCGUAAAGCGUGCGCAGGCGGUUAUUUAAGACAGGUGUGAAAUCCCCGGGCUUAACCUGGGAAUUGCGCUUGUGACUGGAUAGCUAGAGUGCGGCAGAGGGGGGUGGAAUUCCACGUGUAGCAGUGAAAUGCGUAGAUAUGUGGAGGAAUACCGAUGGCGAAGGCAGCCCCCUGGGUCGAUACUGACGCUCAUGCACGAAAGCGUGGGGAGCAAACAGG
rnacentral:rRNA from 1 species